rnacentral:rRNA from 1 species
GUCCUGGCUGUAAACGAUGUCGACUAGAUCGUGGUACCUCUGACGGUUUCACGGUCGAAGCAAAGUGCUAAGUCGACCGCCUGGGAAGUACGGUCGCAAGGCUAAACUCAAAGGAAUUGACGGGGCUCACACAAGCGGUGGAGCAUGUGGUUUAAUUCGAAGCAACGCGCAGAACCUUACCUGGGCUUGACAUGCCAGGAUUAUCUCGAUGAAAGUCGAGUAGGCCCCGCAAGGGGUACAACUGGUACAGGUGCUGCAUGGCUGUCGU